ensembl:lncRNA
CCCAGGGAAGCUCAGGUGCAUGCAAUGCAAUGCAAUGCAAUGCAAUGCAGCUGUGUGACCGGAAGGGAUGGAGCCAGGAUCCACCCCUUCCCAGCUCUCAUUUAAGGGCUGGCAGUGGAGGUGAGAGUAUCUGUCUGGAGAUCUCUGUCUUCCUGAGGCCUUUUGAAGCUCCCACUGUGGUUUCUGAAUGCUUUGGUGCUGAGCAGCUCCUCAAUUCCCUCUGAGGCACAAUCAUUUGUUUACUUGCUCUGCUCAUUUCAUUCUGCACUUGUGUAUGGCAACUACAAGAUGGCAUGUCGACUUUGAGAAUUUGGGGGGAAAAAGGGAGCGAGACAGUUAAAAGUUCCAGCCCUGAAAGCUUUUGACACAUCUUUCUGUCCAUGUAAUCAAUCUUCUAAGUUUCCAAGAGCAGCUGAGAUUUUUAAAAACAGCUGUAAUCUGUGGUCAUUGAUGGUGGAGUAGAUUGUUUGCCAAACUAUUACCAUAACUGUCAACCGAAAUCAGAAAAAUAAUCUCAUUGUGCUGGACAGAUGCCUUUCCUGCAUUAUUGAUAUAGUCGCUGCAGAGUAAUGGAGAAAUAUAAAGCAUUGUUCUAUUUACAAAAGGAGAUUGGCCAAGUCCUUGAGAGUGAGCAGGAGGGACAGGCACUUAAAGGAAGUGAGAUAUAGUCAACUCAGUAAAAGUUAUGUGUCAGGGUCAUGUGGCCUCCAUAGUCAGCAGUAGAAUCUCAGUUUUCAAUAGCUUUUCCUCUCCUUUCUCACUUUCAGAUUUAGCUCCAUAGCUUAAUCUCUGACUAAAUGAGCUUACUAGUGUAGCACCAUGGAAUUCGCACAGCUUUUCCCCCUUGCCUCUGGCUGCCCCAAAUGCAUCUCGGGGACUGCCACGCUUCCAGAACAUGCUGAAAACAGUGCAUUCAC